rnacentral:rRNA from 1 species
AUGCACGCUGGCGGCGCGCCUCACACAUGCAAGUCGCACGAUUAAAGCACCUUCGGGUGUGUAUAAAGUGGCGAACGGCUGAGUAACACGUGGGCAACCUGCCCCUCUCAUUGGGAUAGCCACGGGAAACCGUGGAUAAUACCGAAUACUUCGGGACUUCCGCAUGGAAGACUCGAGAAAGCUCCGGCGGAGAGGGAUGGGCCCGCGGCCUGUUAGCUUGUUGGUGGGGUAAUGGCCUACCAAGGCAAUGAUGGGUAGCUGGGUUGAGAGACCGACCAGCCAGAUUGGGACUGAGACACGGCCCAGACUCCUACGGGAGGCAGCAGUGGGGAAUCUUGCACAAUGGGCGAAAGCCUGAUGCAGCGACGCCGCGUGCGGGAUGAAGGCCUUCGGGUUGUAAACCGCUUUCAGCAGGGACGAGGCGAAAGUGACGGUACCUGCAGAAGAAGCCCCGGCUAACUACGUG